rnacentral:rRNA from 1 species
GCUAGUAAUCGCGAAUCAGCAUGUCGCGGUGAAUACGUUCCCGGGCCUUGUACACACCGCCCGUCACACCAUGAGAGUUGGGAAUACCCGAAGCCUGUGAGCUAACGUUAAGAGGCAGCAGUCGAAGGUAGAAUCAAUGAUUGGGGUGAAGUCGUAACAAGGUAAC